GCGCCUUUGUAAUCCAUGUGCGCCUUGUGUAGUACUGCCAAGCCCUACCCAAGCCUUUUCCUUAGCUCUCUUGAUUUUUCUUUUCCAUGAUUUUAAUUUCUUUUUAUUUAAAUAGAGAUGGUGGAAAAUCCGAUGAACAGAUUCUUCGCAUUAAUAAUAAUAGAAAAUAAUCUAACAGUAGUUUAACCAUCCAGCCAAGACAAUUAAAUAAAUUCCAAAACAAAAAAUACAAAAGAUCAUAACAAA
rnacentral:misc_RNA from 1 species